GCACGAAUGAUAUAUCAUGUCUUUUUAUAUAAGUAGUAGAAAAUUUUACUUUUUAAGAUAUGAACUUUUUAACACACAUCCCACUAUUUGCAUAGUAAUACAUUAUGUAUCAUUUUAUGUUCCGAUCACACUGAAAAAUUUCUCGUUCACCACUCCUUUCCUAAUCAUGUCAAUGAGUCCCAUUUAAUGACAUUUUCUUGUUUUUUCCUAAAUCAUUAUAACUUUUUUCUUUGCUUCUAAUGAAUGUCUCUCUCCAAAGUUGGUUUUUUGUAUUCACGUGAUGCACGAAUCAACAUCCACAUCCUCUUAAAUAAAUAGUUAACUUGUUUAGUAUUGUCUUAAUUCCAUUAAUUUAUUAUUGUCUUUUGAUACUCCAUUUUCAUUUUCCUUGGAAAUUUAAUAAAAGAAGAAUAAUCAUUUGGAUAACACACAUAAUUCCAAAUCUUUUUUUAUAGCAACUGGUAUGAGUAUCAGGUACCCUUAACAACUCAAUGAGUUAAUUUACCACCUCUAUCCAGCUUCCAUCCAUGAAGUUUCUUCCAAGUUCCAACCCAGCAGCAUUAACGUCUGUUAGGGUGAUAUUUUAUAUAUAUUUGUUAACUCUUUUACCUAUAACUUAGUCAUGAUUAUAUAGUAAAUUGGUGAGUUUGAUGUGUUUUUGUGCGAUUUUUGUAGAGAACAUAAUUCGUGAAUAAAGCAGGGAAUUGGAAACUUAAAUUAGAGAAACUCAAAGAAUUAUCGAAUGGGAUGUGACUGAUGGGCUGGAGCAAAGAAUGAAACAAUACAUCAUAUGGGAAAUUGGAUCAUUAAAGCAAGCCCAAUAAAAUUAGGCAGUGCAAGCUUGCGGUGAUGGUUUUCCCAAAAAGAAUUGGGUUGGAGAGAAAACGGCAUGUGGAUUAGAAAAAAAAGGAAAAAUGCAUAGAAGAGAAAAAGGGUUUUGGAACCGUCUGACGAAUAGAACCUACCGGGCUCUCGAAUUGCUGGGGGGAGAUUUCAGGAGCCGCAAGAGGAGUGGAGACCCAAAAAGAAAAAUAACUCAGCGCAGACACAUACAUAAGCCGAGGAAAGAAGAAGCAAUUUGAGAAUUCUAGCUUUGCUGUGGAGUGGAGAAUGGAAUUUCAGUUGUUUCCUUCUUUGAUUUCGAAUUCUAGCGUGGUGUAUUUUAUUUCGAUCAUGAACUAAGUCCUUUUGCUAGGAUUAGGGUGUACUCUUACCAUGAACAUCUAAUUCUUAUUAUUUCAUAUUGAUCUCGGUUGUUUUCCAUGUUGAGUAAUUGUUAUUGUGCUUAUUCGUUAUCAAAUAACUGGCCAUUAUUUGUGUGAAGAACUAAAUUGGGACUGAUAGGUUGAGUUUAGUAGAUUGCUUCUCAUAACAAUUACCAUGAAUUGCAUAAUUGAGUAGACAUACUGGUUAUGACUUGUGUAGUAUUGUGAAAUUAUCCAUUUAGCGUAAAGGGUUUCGAUUAUCUACUUCUGUGGUUAGACAUAGCAUGGGUGGAUAGUUAGAAACACAGUUAGUAUAUUCUGAAAGGAAAUAUUGACAAAUCAAGGGAUAAUUGCUAGCAACAUGGGAAUAAUUUGAGUUUAAUAUGAAUAACGGGAUUAGAUGGGAUUGAGAAUGAGGAACCUGAUGUCCUAGUGCUUCAAUAUAUUAAUUUUUCAUAAUUCAUUCACUUUUACUUCGUGUUUGUUCAAUUGAUAUUUUCACUUUCGUUUGGCGUCUUUGCAUAUUUGAAUUUGUCAUCGUAAUCCAUCUUUUAUUUAAGUUUAGUUUGAAGUCAAUCUCAAUAGUAAAUUUAGGUUAAUCCGAUCCUUGUUUGAACGACACUCUACUUAUCACUAUAUUACUUGGACGAUAUUGUACACUUGCAAUUAUCAACAACAAGUUUUUGGCGCCGCUGCCUCGGAUCGAAUUUAAUUCUAUUUUACUUUUGUGAUUUUGUUUAGUUUAUUUAAAUUUUAUUUCGUUUUUUUUAAUUUUGAUUAUUUUUUUUCUCGGAGUAUUCUCACCUUGUCUCAUUGUUUCUUGAAGGUGAAUGCUUGGUACUCGUUCGUCGGAUUGUGUACUACUUGAGUUUGAACCAGAAAUUGAGAAAAUACUCCGUGAAAUCCGAAGAGAACAAAGAGAAGUCAGUGAGAAAGAAAAGCAGCAAGAGAGCAAGAUGGCGUUAGUUCAGAAUGAAACGAUGGGGAGAUCUUGAUAUGCCAACCAUUCCGGAAUCACCGUCGAGCAUAGCUCUUCCUGCAGCUGCAAGGAAUUAUGAAUUGAAGACUAUCCACUUUAAUAUGAUGCCUUCUUUUCAUGGCAUGAGCACUGAAGAUCCAUUGGCACAUAUUAGAGAUAUCUUCAAUAUGGUGUCCAACAUGGCAUUGGUAGAAGGAGUCACCGAGGAACAUCUCAGGAUGAAGGUCUUUCCAUACACUAUGAAAGACAAAGCGAAGACUUGGUUGAAUUCUUUGAGGCCUAGAACCUUGACGAGUUGGAACGAUAUUCAGAAUAAAUUUUUGGAGAAAUUCUUCUCGACCCAGAAGACCGAUACCCUUAGAGAUAAUAUCAUGCAGUUCACUCAACAGGCAGAUGAGACGUUUUCUGAGGCAUGGGAGAGAUUUAAUAAUUUGUUGAUUCAGUGUCCACACCAUGGUUUGCCUACUCUAGUUCUCAUGCGGAUAUUUAUAAAGGAUUAACAGUUUCAAGCAAAGCUGCAGUGAACAACUAUGCAGGGGGAUCAAUUAAGAACAAGACGCCAGCCGAAUGUCAAGCACUUUUUGAUACUCUAGCACUCGAAACACAACAUUCUGAAGCAAGAGGAAGACGGGCAGGAGUUUUUGAGAUUAAUAAUUCUACCGAAUUUGCUUCAAAGGCACAAGUCGAUGUGAUUGCUAGUAAACUUGACACUUUGCUUUCUAUGAAUGGGAGAGCAUCAGUUCCAGAGGUUUGUUCCAUAUGUGCAGUUCCUGGUCAUGCCACAGUUGGUUGUCCGUAUAGUGUUGAUUUUCCAGAAUUUGUUCAAGAGCAAGUGAACAUGGUGAGUGCUUACAGACGUCCUGGUAACGAUCCAUACUCCAAUACUUAUAAUCAAGGAUGGAGAAACCAUCCAAAUCUCUCAUGGGUCAAUAAUCAGAAUGUACAAAAGCCACCAUCUGGUUUCCAACCUCAAGAGAAGAAGAAUAAUUUGGAAGAUGUCAUUGCACAGCUUGCUGGUAACGUGAAUACUCUUUCCGUCAAUACAAAUCAAUUUAUGAGCAAAACUGAGACAACUCUUCAGAACCAGGCUGCUUCAAUAAAAAAUUUGGAGAUUCAAAUGGGGCAGUUAGCUCAUUCUUUGGCAGUUAGAGAAAAAGGUUCUUUUCCAAGCCAAACUGAAGUUAAUCCAAGAAACCAUGAGCAAGCUAAAGCAAUAACUCUUCGAAGAGGGAAACAAGUGAAAACAGCAGCUGAUUUUGAGAAAAACAAUGAGGAAGAAAAGGUAGAAACCAUUUCAAAAGAGGUGCAGCCACUGUCCGAUGUUGUACAGCCACUAGCUAUACCGGGAACCACUUCAAAAGCUUCACCACAACCAGUCAUUGCAACCACACCACUCCCUAAGCCUGUUGUCCAACCCGUGAAGCCAUAUGUGCCCCCCUAUUCCUUUUCCUCAACGGCUCAAGAAGAAUAUGUUAGAUGAGAAGUAUUUCAAAUUCUUAGAGAUGUUUAAGAAAUUGGAGAUUAAUAUUCCAUUUGCCGAUGCUUUGGAGCAGAUGCCGAAUUAUGCUAAAUUCAUGAAGGAUAUCAUCUCAAAGAAAAGAAAAUUUGGCGAUCAUGAGAAGAUUCAGUUGACAGAAGAAUGCAGUGCAAUCCUUCAAAGAAAGCUUCCGCUCAAGCAAAAAGAUAGAGGGAGUUUCAAAAUUCCAUGCAUUAUUGGCACUAAUUUAUUUGAAAAAGCAUUAUGUGAUUUGGGGUCUAGUAUUAAUUUAUUACCUUUAUCUGUUGCUAAGAACAUUGGAAUAGGUGAAAUUAAACCCACUACUGUUUCUUUGCAGAUGGCGGAUAGAUCAAUUGCAUAUCCAUAGGGAAUUAUCGAAGAUGUGUUAGUGAAGGUUGACAAGCUGAUUUUUCCAGCAGAUUUCUUGGUGUUGGAUAUGGAAGAAGAUUAUGAGACUCAGUUGAUUUUGGGUCGGCCAUUUCUUAUCACAGCUAGGACUUUAAUUGAUGUGGAACAAGGGGUUUUGACAUUGAGAAUUGGGGAAGAGAAAGCAACAUUCAAAGUGUUCGAGGCUGGAAAAUUUCCAAGAGAAACGGAAGAUUGUUUUCGCAUUGAUUUAGUCGAGACCGCGAUUUCUGAAAAAUUCAGAGUUGAGAAGCCCAGUGAUCCUUUGGAAGCUACACUAGUUCAUGCUGCUACUUCAGAAGAUGAAAAUCAACUGUUAGCGGAAUGUGCUCUUUAUUUGGAUGCUUUCAAAUCAGUUACAAAGAGUGGACGAUUGGAGUUCGAAGACCUUGGACCUGUACCUUCAAAAUCGCUGCCAAGUAUCAUAGCCGCACCUACCUUAAAUUUGAAGCCAUUGCCAUCACAUUUAAAGUAUGCUUUCUUGGGAGCUGCUGAGACUUUACCUGUUAUAAUUUCUGCAUAUUUGAGUGAAGUUGAAGAAGAAAAACUAUUGAGAGUGUUAAGAAGGCAUAGAAUGGCAAUUGGGUGGAGUAUUGCUGACAUCAAAGGAAUUAGUCCGUCCAUUUGUAUGCAUCGGAUCUUGUUGGAAGACAAUUACAAGCCUUCAGUUGAGCAUCAACGCAGAUUAAAUCCAAAUAUGAAGGAGGUGGUACGAGCUGAGAUUUUGAAGUUAUUAGACGCUGGAAUAAUAUAUCCAAUUUCGGACAGUAAAUGGGUGAGUGCUUUGCAUUUGGUACCGAAAAAGGGUGGAGUUACAGUGGUUAAGAAUGACAAGAAUGAGUUAAUUCCAACGAGGACUACAACAGGAUGGAGAGUAUGCACUGACUAUAGGAAAUUGAACAAUGAGACUCGAAAAGAUCAUUUUCCUUUUCCAUUCAUUGAUUUGAUGUUGGAUAGACUUGCUGGAUAUGCUUACUAUUGUUUUUUUAGAUGGGUACUCUGGUUAUAAUCAGAUUCCGAUUGCACCAGAAGACCAAGAAAAGACGACAUUCACAUGCCCUUUCGGUACUUUUGCGUAUAGGCGUAUGCCUUUUGGGUUGUGUAACGCGCCUGCUACUUUUCAAAGGUGCAUGAUGAGUAUUUUUUCUGACUUGGUAGAGCGUUGUAUUGAGGUAUUCAUGGAUGACUUCUCAGUUUUUGGCUCAUCGUUUGAUUCUUGUCUAGAUAAUUUGUCCUCGGUGUUGCAAAGAUGUGAAGAAACCAAUUUAGUUCUAAAUUGGGAAAAAUGUCACUUUAUGGUGCAAGAAGGGAUUGUUUUGGGUCAUAAGGUUUCGGUCAACGGCAUUGAGGUAGACAAGGCGAAAAUUGAGACAAUUUCAAAGUUACCGCCACCCACUUCCAUCAAAGGAGUUCGAAGUUUCCUAGGUCAUGCUGGUUUUUAUCGACGUUUUAUCAAGGAUUUCUCUAAGAUUACAAAACCGUUGUGUAACUUGCUCCUGAAAGAAGCGGAGUUUGUAUUCGAUUCAUCAUGUUUUGAGGCGUUCAAUGUGUUGAAAAUGAAGCUCACGACAGCUCCUGUGAUAGUUGCACCGGAUUGGGAAUUACCUUUUGAGAUUAUGUGUGAUGCAAGUGACUAUGCUAUUGGAGCAGUUUUGGGUCAGCGGAGAGAUAAGCUACUGCAUGUGAUUUAUUAUGCUAGUCGAACUCUCAAUGAUGCACAAUUGAAUUAUGCCACUACCGAGAAAGAGCUUCUAGCCGUUGUCUUUGCUUUAGACAAGUUCCGUUCUUAUCUCAUUGGUUCAAAGGUAAUUGUCUACACCGAUCACUCAGCUUUGAAGUAUUUAUUAUCCAAGAAAGAUGCAAAGCCUCGGUUGAUUCGAUGGGUGUUGUUACUACAAGAGUUUGAUUUAGAGAUACAGGAUAAGAAUGGGUCUGAAAAUGUGGUGGCGGAUCAUCUUUCUCGAAUUAUGCAUCAUGAAGGUGAUAAUGACUUAGUUAGACUAGGGACACCUAGGGGUUUAAAGGCUUGUUGCACAUGCUCAGUGCAAUCGUUUUGCCAGCGAAAGUGGGUUUAGUUAGACUUGUUUUAGUCAGUUUCUUAUUUUUGUUUUAUGUUUUGCUCGAGGACUAGCAAAAGAUAGGUUUGGGGGGUAUUUGUUAUUGUUAGGGUGAUAUUUUAUAUAUAUUUGUUAACUCUUUUACCUAUAACUUAGUCAUGAUUAUAUAGUAAAUUGGUGAGUUUGAUGUGUUUUUGUGCGAUUUUUGUAGAGAACAUAAUUCGUGAAUAAAGCAGGGAAUUGGAAACUUAAAUUAGAGAAACUCAAAGAAUUAUCGAAUGGGAUGUGACUGAUGGGCUGGAGCAAAGAAUGAAACAAUACAUCAUAUGGGAAAUUGGAUCAUUAAAGCAAGCCCAAUAAAAUUAGGCAGUGCAAGCUUGCGGUGAUGGUUUUUCCCAAAAAGAAUUGGGUUGGAGAGAAAACGGCAUGUGGAUUAGAAAAAAAAGGAAAAAUGCAUAGAAGAGAAAAAGGGUUUUGGAACCGUCUGACGAAUAGAACCUACCGGGCUCUCGAAUUGCUGGGGGGAGAUUUCAGGAGCCGCAAGAGGAGUGGAGACCCAAAAAGAAAAAUAACUCAGCGCAGACACAUACAUAAGCCGAGGAAAGAAGAAGCAAUUUGAGAAUUCUAGCUUUGCUGUGGAGUGGAGAAUGGAAUUUCAGUUGUUUCCUUCUUUGAUUUCGAAUUCUAGCGUGGUGUAUUUUAUUUCGAUCAUGAACUAAGUCCUUUUGCUAGGAUUAGGGUGUACUCUUACCAUGAACAUCUAAUUCUUAUUAUUUCAUAUUGAUCUCAGUUGUUUUCCAUGUUGAGUAAUUGUUAUUGUGCUUAUUCGUUAUCAAAUAACUGGCCAUUAUUUGUUGUGAAGAACUAAAUUGGGACUGAUAGGUUGAGUUUAGUAGAUUGCUUCUCAUAACAAUUACCAUGAAUUGCAUAAUUGAGUAGACAUACUGGUUAUGACUUGUGUGUAGUAUUGUGAAAUUAUCCAUUUAGCGUAAAGGGUUUCGAUUAUCUACUUCUGUGGUUAGACAUAGCAUGGGUGGAUAGUUAGAAACACAGUUAGUAUAUUCUGAAAGGAAAUAUUGACAAAUCAAGGGAUAAUUGCUAGCAACAUGGGAAUAAUUUGAGUUUAAUAUGAAU
rnacentral:lncRNA from 1 species